GAUGAAGAACGCAGCGAAAUGCGAUAAGUAAUGUGAAUUGCGGAAUUCAGUGAAUCAUCGAAUCUUUGAACGCAUCUUGCGCUCCUUGGUAUUCCUUGGAGCAUGCCUGUUUGAGUAUCAUGAGCAAAUCUCAAAGUCAAUUCCUUUUGUUAAUUCAAUUGGUUUUGCUUUGGACUUGGAGGUCUUGCAGAUUUUCACAGUCUGCUCCUCUUAAAUGCAUUAGCUGGAUCUCAGUAAUUAUGCUUGGUUCCACUCGGCGUGAUAAGUAUCACUCGCUGAGGACACUGUUAAAAAGGUGGCCAGGAAAAUACUGAUUGAACCGCUUCUAACGGUCUAUUAAGUUAGACAAUUACCCUUAAGUUUGAUCUCAAAUCAGGUAGGACUACCCGCUGAACUUAAGCAUAUCAUAAGCGGAGGA
rnacentral:misc_RNA from 1 species